AUUGUUAAAAACUUAUGAGGGGCCCAAAAUUGUAGGACACUUGCCCUAGGGUUUCUUUUUAUUUUUAGGGUGGACCCCACCCCAAUUUUAGGACACAUGGCCUCUUAAAAUUUGAGCCAGCCGUCACACAUGAGGACAACAUUACUCUCGGCAUUUUGGAUUAAAAGGAGCAGCCGAGACACAUUUUGUUUUUGGAGGGUGCGGGAACGGUUUUUGGUGGGGGGCUGGAACGUUUGAUUUUUGGGGAAAAUGGGUAUCGUGUUUUUGGGAGAUUUUGGAUGAAUGAGAAAGAAGCAAGCACGCUUUUUUCCCUUCUAAUUUUCUGCAGCCGCUGAUUUCACAUUGCAAGGCUCAGAUUCAUUUUAUUUUAAGAAAAAGGAAAUGUUGAUUUCACUUGAUGGGAUGGUGGUAGCUUAGUGUAGCUAGGUUUUCUCUUUCUUUAUUUUCAGAAUGCAGCACUUGAUUUGAUGGAAGGAAAGCCAUUUGGUCAUGGCAAGGAGAGGGU
rnacentral:lncRNA from 1 species